rnacentral:lncRNA from 1 species
GCGGCCUUAGCUAUGAUAUUGCUUGUUGGGUUAUUUGUCCGAACUAUAAUGAUAAUUACUGGAGGGAGCAAGAAUAUACGUGCAUAAGACGCCGGACAUGAACAUUACUUUUGUCCAGCUAAACUUCCGGUUAUCACUACAAAUGUCAAAAAGUCUGAAAAGACCAAUUUUUUUUUCUGAACUUGCAUGCAUUUUUUUCCACAUGCUCUCUUUGUCUAAAAUUUUAGUAAUUUU